UUCAACUUGACUUGUGGCUGCUUUGUGGA
rnacentral:piRNA from 1 species